rnacentral:lncRNA from 1 species
CCAAUGGCUAACAACCAAGAACUUAGGUACGCUCUGUACUUUAGUCCCUCGUGCAACACCUGAAAUUCCUGGGGCGAAUCAAACAGCAAAUUAAAGCUCAGACAACCUUCACCUGCAAACCAUGCACAGUAUAAGGAACUCAUUUUAAUGUUUUCUGGCUGAAGUCAUAGGGGAUAAGAAAACAAAAGAAUGGCCACGAAGGAAUCCUGUCCCACUCAAAAGCACUACCAUAAAUACAUGAGCUCGGUGCCAAGAAGACAGGAUUCCAUACUGGGGACAGCUCUUACUCCAGUGACUUCAGGAGGAGGCUGGGUAGAAGGAAGACCCAGAUGACAGAAAUCCUCAGUGAGAUGGAGAAGCCUUAAGACACCAAAUUUCAGAAGCCACAUUACAUAUGCAUUGCCCUCCAUGUGGAAGCAGGGCUGAGGACAUUGUUACCAUUUACCUCCACUGGAUAUCUAUUUUCUUUCAAAAAGCACAAUCAACGUGCCUUUUCCCUGAUUUUCUCUGCCAAACAUAUCAGAUUGUGGGAGGUUUAUGGAUACACAGUACUUCACAGGCAACCUGAAAGGUCCCAAUUUGGGCCCCGAGUCUGCUGGAGAAAAGAGAAAGGCUAAGAAGCAGCCUACCUUACCUGUGGCUCUGGGUCUGAGGAUGGCCAGGAGAACAGAGAGCAAAGCAGAGCCAAUGCAAGACCUCUGGCCCUGGAAGCCGAAGGGUCUCUCACAGGUCAACGCAGGAUCUACUCCAUCAUCAUCUUCACUAGCACACCCAGUUCGAUUGAGGAGCCUUGACGUGGGAUAUUGAUGGGAUAUUGAGAGAAAAGAGAAAUGGUGAAUCAAGCACUAAUCUCAAAGCUUCUGCACAGAACUACUUACAUGUCACUUCCUCCCAUGACUAUUCCUAAAUUCAGCCAAAAGGGGACACAUAAUCUCUUACGGGGGAGGGCACCACGGGGAGAGAAACCCGAAUAUUUGGUGAAUAGUAACACAAUCUACUUUGUUAUAGAAUCUGUCCUCAAUGGUCUUACAGUCUAAGAGCAUUACAUUUAGUUACGGUAGUCUUAAAUAUGAUACUAAAUGAAUUGAAUAGCCAGACAUCUGUGAAAGUAAAACUGUGAUAAUACAAAGUCAGUGUGCUUUUAAGUUUCAAUUGCUUAAAGUUAUUUGGAAGUAAGGAUCACAUGAGUUCAGAGCCCCAGGAUUCAAAAAUAACUCCGGAAUCUUUUAUCACUCCCCAAAGGAAAAGCAAUAAUAAGUAAGUUACCAGACAUUCAUGUAAUCUCUCUGAAACUGUAAGACUAACAAAGGAAAAUUUUCAAAAGGCAGAAAUACUUUAUUAUUUAUUUGCAAUAGAAAUUAUUCAGCCGGGCGCGGUGGCUCAUGCCUGUAAUCCCAGCACUUUGGGAGGCCGAGGCGAGUGGAUCACCUGAGGUCGGGAGUUCGAGACCAGCCUGACCAACAUGGAGAAACCCCGUCUCUACUAAAAAUACACAAUUAGCUGGGCAUGGUGGCACAUGCCUGCAAGCCCAGCUACUCAGGAGGCUAAGGCAGGAGCGACAGAGCGAGACUCCAUCUCAAAAAAAAAAGAAAGAAAGAAAGGAAAAAAAGAAAAGAAAAGAAACAAAGAAAUUUUUCAGUAAAUACAUACAACAGCAUUGAUGGCCUGGAGACAUACCACCUUCAGUUGUGAUCCUGGCAGAUGUGAUAGAUUCUACAAGGUUGGACAGGUUAAAUUCUUGCAAGGAAGUCCUUUCUGGAACACCCAAGAAUUACAGAAAGUUUAGCUAUCUUUCAGAUGAGAUUUCAUUCUCAGUUUUACUUGUUCCAUGACCCUUCCAAACUACACACGGGAUUCUUUUCAUUCAGUUGCCUUGGCCAGCAUUUUAUCACCAAUAGUCCUAUUUUAUGUAACUGAGUUUGCCUUGCCCUUUACUGCAUUUAGGUAAAUGGAAUGGUGUUUUUUAGACUUCCGAAACUAUUUGUAGACCUUUUCCUUCACAAGUUUGAAAUAGAUGUGAGGCAUUCAUUUUACUCAGACAACAUUGAGCCCAAUUCACUUGGGAAAAUGCAUCUUGAUGUGUAAUUCAUCAUCCAGAGCCUGUCCACUAUUCUGUUCCUCCCUGAGAGUAAAUUAGGCACUUUGAAAGGUGCAUUAAACUCUUCCUGGCUACUAGGUACCAUUUAGAACUGUGGGGCAAUAAUUUACUUCAUGGUACCUUGGUGACCUCAAAAAGUUUAUAUUGUUUUGAAAGUUCUUAAUUUUCUCCCACUAAAUAAUUUAUGCAUUCAGAGGUUGGGUGUGCUUAUGUUUCCAGAGAGACAACAGCUAUUGAAUAGCAUAAAUAAGAUAAAAUAGUCAUGCUAGUGUAGAAAUUAAAUGUUCACAAAUGUGUUAUCGAGUCUAUCCAUAGAAUAAAAGUGUAGCUUAUAAAACAAUUAUUGCUUUGGAUUUCAUGUUUUAAAUUUACAAGACUGUGUUACAUUUUGUUGUAAUUAGUAAUGCUUCAUAGCUACAAGGAUUACCAGAUCCAUAUCACUGCAUUUUUCCAUAGCACAAAACACAUUUAUCCAAAGUAAAAAUAGUGUGCUAAACAUACUGAAGUUUCUGACAGACACUUAUAUUUCUCUUCAUUCUUUCAUUCACAGCAGAGUUUCAUCCAUAUUAAAUAAAUUGGUUAAGUUUUGAUACCUCCUACUUUAAUCACUCAUCUUAUGUACUAAAAUGAACCAAAUUAAGUUUGAGCCAACAAAUAAAAGUGAUAUGCUUUGAUAAAAAAAAAAAAAAAAAAAAAAAAAAAGUUUAUAACUUUUGCCAGAAGGGAUCUAUAAGAGAAUGCUUUUUAUCAGAAUAACUUUUAUAUGUAUCCACUGAAAUAGGUUCAAUCAUAUCUAGUAUUAAUCUCUGGAUGUAACACCAACUCCACACCUCGAAGACAACAGGGGAGACAAAGGCAGAGCAACAACAACAACAAAAUGAUGUAAAUUUUACAAUAUAUCAAGAUAUAAAAUUCAGAACCUAUGCCCUUGAUGUUAUCCUGAAUGAUAAGAUGAUAUUUACCGACAAAAAUCACAUGAUUAUCUCCAUAGAUGCAGAAAAGGCCUUUGACAAAAUUCAACAACGCUUCAUGCUAAAAACUCUCAGUAAAUUAGGUAUCGAUGGG